rnacentral:lncRNA from 1 species
CUUAGCUCAGGGAAUGUUGCAUGUGGUUUCAAAAUAACAGUGGUUUUUGCUUUGUUCUCUUUAUACAUUUUUGGAAAACAUUUAUUAAGCAAUAAUUAUAUGUAGUUCAUGGUAAAUUCCAGGAGGAAUGAAGAUGUAGUUCUUGCUUUUAGGAAACUUAUUAACUAAUGGGACAUAGAAAGUGUUCUCAGAAAAGUCAACAAAAUGCUAUGAGGGAAGAAGCACUUUAGGAGCCAUUAGUGUGAGGUAGAACAGAGGCUCAGAGUGUGGACACCUCUUCAUCUAUCCAGCAGAGGCAGCCUUUCACUUGUUUUUGAAGGGUAAACAAGAUUAAACAGGCCAGGAAGGAUGACUUUGUGUUCAUGUGACCCCUGUGGUUGUCACAUGGGCCUGUCCUGUGUUUAGUAUUCUGCUCUCACCAUCCUUAAAGUCAUGUGUGUGUGUCCCACCCCUUACCCCCAAGUACUGGGGAUUGAACCCAGAGCCCCACACGUGCUAGACAGAUACUCUACCACCGAGUUACAUCCCCAGCCCUCUAUCCUGACAUACUGGUUUUUUUAUCAUGAGCUUAUGUUUUGUAGGUAAAUUCCAGUGGGACAAUGGAGCAUGUGCACUAGCAGAGGAGAUAAAAAGAAAAGAUAAAAAGUUUUGUAUUUUAAUAUCUUUAACAGAAGGUACCUUUUCCUACUUUCCAACAAGACCCUGACAUAUUCAACAAGGGCUCCACAAUUAUGAUUCCAGCCCUGGGUGAGGGCUUUCUGCGAAGAAAUAGCAAAUAAAAGGCAGGGAUGAGAAAGUGAGAGACAAAUAUGCAGAAAUCGGGGACCGUUGUAUUUAAAUAAGAUACAACCAUGUCAAAGGGAACAGUAAGAGACCAGAUUGCAAGAGUUGUUUGGGAGUCUGAUUAUAUAAUUGUGAAUUAAGAUAUCUGGAGUUUAAGAAAUCAGUUGAAAGACUUAGUAGAGACAGAAUUGUCAAAAUUUAUCAAAUGUAAUGGUAGGAGUGAUGAUACAUAAGGAAUUGUUAAAGUUUACAGUUGUAAGAAAUGAUUAGGAUGCCAGUAAUAUUCAAAUUGCAAAUGGUGGAAUCACCACUUCAUGAGAAGGAAACUAAUUCAGUUUUCAGCAUGUUGAAUUUGACUUGUAUCCAUGAGAAUGUCGUAAAUAUAGACAGACUUAGGCUAUCAGUUAAUGCUGAAUAUGGAGUCUGGGAUAUCAUUAACAUUGACUUCUAAGCAAGAAAAAAUGCCAUGCCUAUAAGUGAGUGAGCUUGUCAAGGAGAAGGGGAAAGGGAGACAAAAAAAAAUAUCUUAAAAG